GUGCCAGCAGCCGCGGUAAUACGAAGGGGGCUAGCGUUGUUCGGAAUUACUGGGCGUAAAGGGCGCGUAGGCGGCCCGAUCAGUCAGAAGUGAAAGCCCCGGGCUCAACCUGGGAACCGCUUUUGAUACUGUCGGGCUUGAGUUCCGGAGAGGAUGGUGGAAUUCCCAGUGUAGAGGUGAAAUUCGUAGAUAUUGGGAAGAACACCGGUGGCGAAGGCGGCCAUCUGGACGGACACUGACGCUGAGGCGCGAAAGCGUGGGGAGCAAACAGGAUUAGAUACCCUAGUAGUCC
rnacentral:rRNA from 1 species